UAGAGUUUGAUCAUGGCUCAGAUUGAACGCUGGCGGCAUGCUUUACACAUGCAAGUCGAACGGUAACAGGUCUUCGGAUGCUGACGAGUGGCGAACGGGUGAGUAAAACAUCGGAACGUGCCUGGUAGUGGGGGACAACUGCUCGAAAGAGCAGCUAAUACCGCAUGACAUCCAAGGAUAAAAGCAGGGGACCUUCGGGCCUUGUGCUACCAGAGCGGCCGAUGGCAGAUUAGGUAGUUGGUGAGGUAAAGGCUCACCAAGCCUGCGAUCUGUAGCUGGUCUGAGAGGACGACCAGCCACACUGGGACUGAGACACGGCCCAGACUCCUACGGGAGGCAGCAGUGGGGAAUUUUGGACAAUGGGCGCAAGCCUGAUCCAGCAAUGCCGCGUGCAGGACGAAGGCCUUCGGGUUGUAAACUGCUUUUGUACAGAACGAAAAGGACUGGGUUAAUACCCUGGUCAUAUGACGGUACUGUAAGAAUAAGCACCGGCUAACUACGUGCCAGCAGCCGCGGUAAU
rnacentral:rRNA from 1 species